CAAACGGCCCUUUUUAGGGCCACCCACCAUCUUUUAUCGGCAAGA
rfam:Ixodes scapularis strain Wikel colony gcontig_1107729044094, whole genome shotgun sequence.